rnacentral:rRNA from 1 species
GACGAACGCUGGCGGCGUGCUUAACACAUGCAAGUCGAACGGAAAGGCCCUGCUUUUGUGGGGUGCUCGAGUGGCGAACGGGUGAGUAACACGUGAGUAACCUGCCCUUGACUUUGGGAUAACUUCAGGAAACUGGGGCUAAUACCGGAUAGGAGCUCCUGCUGCAUGGUGGGGGUUGGAAAGUUUCGGCGGUUGGGGAUGGACUCGCGGCUUAUCAGCUUGUUGGUGGGGUAGUGGCUUACCAAGGCUUUGACGGGUAGCCGGCCUGAGAGGGUGACCGGCCACAUGGGGGCUGAGAUACGGCCCAGACUCCUACGGGAGGCAGCAGUGGGGAAUAUUGCACAAUGGGCGGAAGCCUGAUGCAGCAACGCCGCGUGCGGGAUGACGGCCUUCGGGUUGUAAACCGCUUUCGCCUGUGACGAAGCGUGAGUGACGGUAAUGGGUAAAGAAGCACCGGCUAACUACGU